GUGACUCUGAGCUGAGGUCACCCUCUGGCAUGUGCAGUCGGGUCCUGGAGAAAGGCAGGAAGGCAGAAGCUAUUUGGCUCUGAAUAGGAAGAACUUAGUCCCGGAAGCUUUAGCCACGCUGGCCAGGCAAGGGUAAAGUGUUGGUAUGUGGCUGCUGUCUCCAAGGAUUUGAGAAAUGAAGGAACAAAACCCUUCAGUUAAAACUCCAGGGGAAGCGCUCAAGACCAAUACCCGUGACUCAUAUGCGGCUGGUGCCCCUGGGCUUUCCAGAAUGUGCUUUGGAAAACAGUCCCCUGCUGGCUGUAAAGCUCCUCCGGACCAAAGGGCAGAUGGGGAUUUGGUCCGCUGGCCUGAGUUUCGCUGUCCAGCCGUCAGUUGGAGGACAGCUAGGCUGAUCCCACUGUGAACAGAGCAUCAAGGACAUGAACACGCAAGUACCUCACAGUAGGAGUUACAGGCAAGCGCCUGAACCACUAAACCAUCUUCCGAGCCCUGCUCUCAGCCUGCUGAGGACCUCCCACCGAUGCUCACAGGGGCUCUUCCGCAGCUACUCUCCCGCUCUUGGUGAACAAUGGGCAUGAGAGUGAGUCCAUCCCUUGCUAAGGAGUCAUAAGGCUGGAGAGAAGAUCAGUUUUGCAUUGUUUCUGUCGCGGACACGUGGGGCAUUUCUCUCUCUGCAUGAGCUCUGCUCUUCAACUCCCUCUCAUGGCGAACGACUGUCUCCCCGGGCUGGGCACUUAGGAUGGGAAUUGCUCACAGCGACCUCUCAAGCAUGACCAUCCAUCACCUGCAAUGAUAACCAAAAAACAUAUGUCACUCGCUAUGUGUCAGGAGUCCUGAAACUGUUCACACGUUUUUCAUCUCACAUAGUUAAGAAAUCACAUAGGUCUGCGCACAAUAGUGUAUUAUCAUAGGUACUGACGCAAAGGCUUGUUUAUGAGUUUGAAGAGAAGAAACUAUGAAGUCCCCCUCAGUGGGGACUGGUUAAGUAACUUUUGCUACAUAAAUAUGAUAUCUCAAAGGCAUUAAAGUUUGUUUUAGCGAAUGAUUAUAAAACAUGGCAUAGCUGGGCAUGGUGGUGCAUGCCUUUAAUCUCAAUACUCAGGAGGCAGAGGUAGGAGGAUCACCAUGAGUCCAAAUCCAGCCUGGGACUACAGAGUUCCAGGUUGCCUGGGCUAUCGUGAGACCCUACCUAGAAAAACAACAACAAAAACCCCUAUCAGUUGCUUUCUCACUGCAAUGACCAGGUCCAAUGAAGGGUCCAUUUUGUCUUAUAGUUCCAGGGGGUGCAGUCCAUCAUGGAGGCAUGUGUGGAGGCAGGAGCAAGAAGCUGGCUGGUCACAUUACAUCCAGUCAGGGAAGCAGAGGGCCAACAGGAAGUAGGGUCAAGCUAUAAAAUCUCAAGAUCCACCCCUUGGGACCCACUUCCUCCAAUCAGGCUGUAUCUUUUGAAUUUUCCAUAACCUUCCCAAAGAGCGCCACCAGCUUGGGUCCAAUUGUUCAAACACAUGAGCCAAUGGAAGAAUUUUAUAUUCAAAUCA